AUUGAACGCUGGCGGCAGGCCUAACACAUGCAAGUCGAACGAGUGGCGGACGGGUGAGUAAUGUCUGGGAAACUGCCUGAUGGAGGGGGAUAACUACUGGAAACGGUAGCUAAUACCGCAUACCAUCAGAUUUGCCCAGAUGUGAUUAGCUAGUUGGUGGGGCAACGGCUCACCAAGGCGACGAACCCUAGCUGGUCUGAAAGGAUGACCGGCCACACUGAAACUGAGACACGGACCAGACUCCGACGGGAGGAAGCAGUGGGGAAUAUUGCACAAUGGGCGCAAGCCUGAUGCAGCGAUGCCGCGUGUAUGAAGAAGGCCUUCGGGUUGUAAAGUACUUACAGCGGAGAGGCGUUACCCGCAGAAGAAGCACCGGCUAACUCCGUGCCAGCAGCCGCGGUAAUAC
rnacentral:rRNA from 1 species